rnacentral:rRNA from 1 species
AUUGAACGCUGGCGGCAGGCCUAACACAUGCAAGUCGAAUGGUAACAGGAAACAGCUUGCUGUUUCGCUGACGAGUGGCGGACGGGUGAGUAAUGUCUGGGAAACUGCCUGAUGGAGGGGGAUAACUACUGGAAACGGUAGCUAAUACCGCAUAACGUCGCAAGACCAAAGAGGGGGACCUUCGGGCCUCUUGCCAUCAGAUGUGCCCAGAUGGGAUUAGCUAGUAGGUGGGGUAACGGCUCACCUAGGCGACGAUCCCUAGCUGGUCUGAGAGGAUGACCAGCCACACUGGAACUGAGACACGGUCCAGACUCCUACGGGAGGCAGCAGUGGGGAAUAUUGCACAAUGGGCGCAAGCCUGAUGCAGCCAUGCCGCGUGUAUGAAGAAGGCCUUCGGGUUGUAAAGUACUUUCAGCGGGGAGGAAGGGAGUAAAGUUAAUACCUGUGCUCAUUGACGGUACCCGCAGAAGAAGCACCGGCUAACUCCGUG